ACGGAAUGUGUUUGCCAGAACAAUGCGGGAGUUGCAGAGAGAGGUGUCCUGUGUUUGUUCCCAGUCUUCCUUCACUCACCUGCACCUGCUCCUGCCCUGCUUCGGCCAACAUGUUCUAUGCAGAGUCUUAGAGGCAAGAUUAGAAUGUUCAUCUAAAAGGAGUGCAAAUUUCUUCAACCAUUCCCACGGAGGAAGGUCUACUCUGUGAAAAGGAAAUGAUCAUACAUAAUUCAUGCAUUUGCUGUACGGAUUUAAUUAAAUGAUAGACAAAAAGUAGAGUGGCACAAGUCAAACUCAAAAAAUAGUAACAACAAAAUCAAUUUCAAAAUAAGCAACAGCAAUAAAUGUUACCUACUAUUUUACGAAUGAAAAUACUGAGACCAAUAAAGGCAUUAUAGUAUACAUAGCCUUGGAAUCAGAAGACCAAGAACAUACAAGAGAACAUAGCCUUGGAAUCAGAAGACCAAGAAACAAUUUAACUCUGCCCCUCUAGAGCUCUGAGAACUUGGGCAAGCCUUUUACCCUCUUGAAUUUUUGCCACCUUCAAUGAGAAAGACUGAAACAAAAAACUCAGAAGAAAGAAAGAGACUGAGAUAGCAAAUAUGACAAACUGUUAAAAAUUCAUGAAUCUGUUAUGGAAUACUAUGCAGCCAUAAAAAAGGAUGAGUUCCUGUCCUUUGCAAGGACGUGUAUGAAGCUGGAAACCAUCAUUCUGAGCAAACUAAAACAGGAACAGAAAACCAAACACCACAUGUUCUCACUCAUAAGUGGGAGUUGAACAAUGAGAACACAUGGACACGGCGGGGUGGUGGGAACAUCACACACCGGGGCCUGUCAGAGGGGAGGGGGCUAGGGGAGAGAUAGCAUUAGGAGAAAUACCUAAUGUAGAUGAUGGGUUGAUGGGUGCAGCAAACCACCAUGGCAUGUGUAUACCUAUGUAACAAACCUGCAUGUUCUGCACAUGUAUCCCAGAACUUAAAGUAUAAUAAUAAAAAGAGAGAUUAAAAAAAUUGGUGAAUCUGGGCAAAAUGUACACAGGAUUUUUCUGUACUGUUCUUGCAACUUUUCUACAGAUUUGAAAUGUUACAAAAUAAAAGGUAUUUUUAGAAAAAGA
rnacentral:lncRNA from 10 species